AAAUUAUUAAAAUAGAUAACACUAGGAAUGCAUGCCUGAAUUCCUAAUAUUAGAUAAGUCCAAAACAGCUUAACAGUUUAAAAACAAAACACUGCCUCCCUGUCCACUCUCACUAGGCAGAAAAUGUAUUUGCCCGUAAGCAAAUGCCAUAACGAAUCUUUUUACUUGGCUCUUGACUUCUAGGGAAAUUCCUGCUCUAAUAUUCCAGGUUCUAUUUUCAAAAUUACCUGCUGCAGACCUUGACAUCUCAACCUGUUGCAGCUACAUAGUACAUUUAGCUUUUACAGUGGCUUACAUUAACUACAUUAGUUGGUUCCAAGGAAUAGUGCUAGUCUGUGGUGGGUUUUUUGCAACCUAACUACUAAGCCCUUAGAGGUGGCUACUAGAUAACUCCAAAAGCCAGAAAAAUAAUUUUAAGAGGAAACUACAGGCAUCAAAACAAUUUUAGCUUAAAGAAGCAGCUUAGGUGUAAAGAUCAUGCCCCUGCAGUCUCACUCCUCUACCAUUUAGGAAUAAAAUUAUGUUUAUGCAGCCCUAGUCACACCUCCCUACAUUUGACUUACACAGCCUUCCUAAACACUUCCUAUAAACACUCA